GAUGAACGCUAGCGGCAGGCCUAAUACAUGCAAGUCGAACGGGAUCCAGAUCAAAGCUUGCUUUGGUCUGGUGAGAGUGGUGCACGGGUGCGUAACGCGUGAGCAACCUACCCUUGUCAGGGGGAUAGCCCGGCGAAAGUCGGAUUAAUACCGCAUGACAUCAUUGAGAGGCAUCUUUCGAUGAUCAAAGAUUUAUCGGACAAGGAUGGGCUCGCGUGACAUUAGCUAGUUGGUAAGGUAACGGCUUACCAAGGCUGCGAUGUCUAGGGGCUCUGAGAGGAGAAUCCCCCACACUGGUACUGAGACACGGACCAGACUCCUACGGGAGGCAGCAGUAAGGAAUAUUGGUCAAUGGACGGAAGUCUGAACCAGCCAUGCCGCGUGCAGGAGGACGGCCCUAUGGGUUGUAAACUGCUUUUAUACGGGAACAAACGUCGGUACGUGUACCGGUCUGAGUGUACCGUAAGAAUAAGGAUCGGCUAACUCCGUG
rnacentral:rRNA from 1 species